UUCUGUAAGAUCAAUAUAUAAUUGAGAUAGCUGUAGAGUUUUUUGAAAAUCCAAGUUAAUUUAAAAAAGUUAUAAAAAAUUUAAAGAUAACUAUCUGAUUUUAGCCUAAAAUGAAAAUUUGAGCUUUUUUUUCUUACCUAUUAAAUAAAUCCAUAAAUUUUACAGCAAUACACCUAACCACCAAACAACCUGGCUUUCUAUAAGAUCAAUAUAUAAAUGAGAUAGCUGUAGAGAUUUAUAAAAAUCCUAGUUGAUUUGAAAAAGUUGUAAAAAAAAUCAAAGUUGACUAUCUGAAUUUAGCCUUAACUGAAAAUUUGAGUUUUUUUUUUCUACCAAUUAUUUAAAUCAAUAAAUAUAACAGCAAUACACCAAACUAUUAAACAACUUGGUAUUCUUUAAGGUAAAAAAAAAAUAAUAGAUAGUCUGAACAGAAAAUUCUAGCUUUGUUAUUCCUUAAUUAAAUCCUUAAAUUAACAGAAAUGAACCAAGCUACCAGUUUGUUGAGACAUGUUUUGAGUGCCAGCAAAACAAAUUUCCUACACACCAAUAAAAUUGAUGGUAAUUUUUUUCCUAUAAAAUAUGUUCUGGCCCAUCCACUCAAUAUUUUUUAAAAAGUUCUCGCCCAUCCAAAUAUUUACACAAAAAAGUGCUUACCUCGCCCUAUUUUGCACUGGCCCAUCCAUCUGAUAAAUAUUGAACGGUCCCACACUUGCUGCCCUAACCCUAAGCUUACCACUAACCCCUGGAAACUUGUCGACCUAUGUAGGUUGACAUUUAUUUGUAAAAGUUAAUUUGUCGACCUGUCAACCAA
rnacentral:lncRNA from 1 species